GAAACGCGCAAAACUGGCGCUGCCAGUCCCCGAGUUUCGGGUUAAGAACUUUGUUCUUAGCGCAAAACUUAACUCAUUUCUUCUUUUUCUUGAACAGGUCACCGCUGACACUCGGAAGGCCCUUUUCGAGGAGCUUUUGUGGGAGCACCGGGAGCUCGCUGAGGCACAUGACAAGUGCCAAGUGAUCCCGGAAGCUUCCAUCGAUGCUCUGAAAGAGCAGCUCGCCGAGGCCCAACGGGAAAAGGACGAGCUCAACCGGCAGCACCAGGAUGAGCUGAACGCCCUCAAGGCCAGCUACCAGGAU